rnacentral:rRNA from 3 species
GCAGCUUGCUGCUUUGCUGACGAGUGGCGGACGGGUGAGUAAUGUCUGGGAAACUGCCUGAUGGAGGGGGAUAACUACUGGAAACGGUGGCUAAUACCGCAUAACGUCGCAAGACCAAAGAGGGGGACCUUCGGGCCUCUUGCCAUCAGAUGUGCCCAGAUGGGAUUAGCUUGUUGGUGAGGUAACGGCUCACCAAGGCGACGAUCCCUAGCUGGUCUGAGAGGAUGACCAGCCACACUGGAACUGAGACACGGUCCAGACUCCUACGGGAGGCAGCAGUGGGGAAUAUUGCACAAUGGGCGCAAGCCUGAUGCAGCCAUGCCGCGUGUAUGAAGAAGGCCUUCGGGUUGUAAAGUACUUUCAGCGGGGAGG